rnacentral:rRNA from 1 species
GGGUGCAAGCGUUGUCCGGAAUUAUUGGGCGUAAAGAGCUUGUAGGCGGUUUGUCGCGUCUGCUGUGAAAUUUCGGGGCUCAACCCCGAACUUGCAGUGGGUACGGGCAGACUAGAGUGUGGUAGGGGAGACUGGAAUUCCUGGUGUAGCGGUGAAAUGCGCAGAUAUCGGGAGGAACACCAAUGGCGAAGGCAGCUUGCUGGGACGGUACUGACGCUGAGGCGCGAAAGCGUGGGGAGCAAACAGG